AGAGAGAGAGAGUGAGAGAGAGAGAAGGAAAAAGAGGUGGGGUACUGACUCCUUUCAGUUGAUUUAUUUAUCAGCUCCAAAAAGCUCACAAGGAAUGUUGGCCCCUGAGGGAUUUAAACUCUCAGUGCUAACAGCCAUAACAAAUACUGCA